rnacentral:lncRNA from 1 species
GUACAGUUAUAGGGUGAGGGAUCCUGUCAUAGACCAGUGAUAGGUACAGUUAUAGGGUGAGGGGUCCUGUAAUAGACCAGCGAUAGGUACAGUUAUAGGGUGAGGGGUCCUGUAAUAGAGCAGUGAUAGGUACAGUUAUAGGGUGAGGGGUCCUGUAAUAGAGCAGUGAUAGGUACAGUUAUAUGGUGAGGGGUCCUGUAAUAGAGCAGUGAUAGGUUCAGUUAUAGGAUGAGGGGUCCUGUAAUAGAUCAGUGAUAGGUACAGUUAUAGGGUGAGAGGUCCUGUAAUAGAGCAGUGAUAGGUACAGUUAUAGGGUGAGGGGUCCUGUAAUAGAGCAGUGAUAGGUACAGUUAUAGGGUGAGGGGUCCUGUAAUAGAGCAGUGAUAGGUACAGUUAUAGGGUGAGGGGUCCUGUAAUAGACCAGUGAUAGGUACAGUUAUAGGGUGAGGGUCCUGUAAUAGAGCAGUGAUAGGUACAGUUAUAUGGUGAGGGGUCCUGUAAUAGAGCAGUGAUAGGUUCAGUUAUAGGGUGAGGGGUCCUGUAAUAGAUCAGUGAUAGGUACAGUUAUAGGGUGAGGGGUCCUGUAAUAGAUCAGUGAUAGGUACAGUUAUAGGGUGAGGCAGGGCCGUCUUUAAUAACGAAUGGACCCUGGGCAAGUGUUUGCUUGGGCCCCCCGUGCCCUGCCGCUCUCGCCCCUCACUCCCUGGUAUGCAAUCACGGCAUCCAUCCCAACGCAGUGGCGGUACUAAAGUAGAAUGAAUUUUAUUGGGACCCCCAAUUGCAAGGUUGGACUAAAGGUAGAACCCCAUCUGUCGUGCAACUCCAACAAUGUUUUGACAGCUGGGACUCUACCAAUUUCCCAUGCUUGCAGGGUUGUAUUUAGCACUGAGCCAUGUUAGUAUGUUUGAAUGUAAGCAUGUGUUUGUAUGGAGUAUGUUUGUGUGAAUGUGUUUGUAUGUGGUACUGGAGUUUGAAUGCAAGUGUGCAUUUAUGUGUAGUUUGUUUUUGAAUGUAGGAGUGUGCUUGUAUGUAGUGUUGACGUUUCAAUGCAGGAGUGUGUUUUAUAUGUAGUGUUGAAGUUUGAAUGGAGGGGUGUAUUUGUAUUUAAAGUUGCGGCUCAGAUGCACAGGUACAAACUCUGACGCACAAGCAGAUACACAGAUACAUACACUGACUACAUACAGAUAAACAGGCACAUACACUGACAGACACACUGACACAGGUACAUAUAUUGACACACACACAGACAUACACUGGUAGACGUACUGACAGACAUACUGACACAGGCACAUAUACAGACAUACUGACACACAGACACAUAUACCGACUGUACUGACACACACACACAGACACAUACACUGAUCCAACAUGCUGACACACAUACACUGAGCAGAAAUACUGACACCCACACACUGAAAGCAGAUAUACAGGACACCCAUACACACAGAAAUACUGACACACACACACAGGCACAUACACUGACACACACAGACGAUAUACUGACACACACACACAGACAUACUAGCACACAGACAGAUAUACACUGACACAUGCAUACACAUACACUAACAGACAUACUAGCCGCACUGACGAACAUACCCCAGUACAUACAUACUGACACACACAGAUAUACACACACACACUUAUAUACCCCAACACACAGACAAACAUGCAACACACACACACAAACAUGCUAACCACACACAUACACUAACACACACAUACACUAACACACAUACACUAACACACACACACUAACACACAUACACACACACUAACACACAUACACAAACACACACACUAACAUACACUAACACACACAUACACUAACACACAAACACAUACACUAACACACAUACACUAACACACACAAACCCACACAUACAUACACUAACACACACAUACACUAACACACAAACACUAACACACACAUACACUAACACACACAUACACUAACACACACAUACACUAACUCACACAUACACACACACACACACAUACACACACAUACACACAAACACAUACACUAACACACAAACACACACACUAACACACAUAAACACACACAUACAUACACUAACACAUACAUACACUAACACACACAUACACUAACACACACAAACACACACAUACAUACACUAACACACACACACAAACAAACACACACAUACACACACACANNNNNNNNNNNNNNNNNNNNNNNNNNNNNNNNNNNNNNNNNNNNNNNNNNNNNNNNNNNNNNNNNNNNNNNNNNNNNNNNNNNNNNNNNNNNNNNNNNNNGGGUCCUGUAAUAGAGCAGUGAUAGGUACAGUUAUAGGGUGAGGGUCCUGUAAUAGACCAGUGAUAGGUACAGUUAUAGGGUGAGGGGUCCUGUAAUAGAGCAGUUAAAGGGUGAGGGGUCUGGUAAUAGACCAGUGAUAGGUACAGUUAUAGGGUGAGGGGUCCUGUAAUAGACCAGCGAUAGGUACAGUUAUAGGGUGAGGGUCCUGUAAUAGAGCAGUGAUAGGUACAGUCAUAGGGUGAGGGGUCCUGUAAUAGAGCAGCGAUUGGUACAGUUAUAGGGUGAGGGGUCCUGUAAUAGACUAGUUAUAGGGUGAGGGGUCCUGUAAUAGACCAGUGAUAGGUACAGUUAUAGGGUGAGGGGUCCUGUAAUAGACCAGCGAUAGGUACAGUUAUAGGGUGAGUGGUCCUGUAAUAGACCAGUGAUAGGUACAGUUAUAGGGUGAGGGGUCCUGUAAUAGAGCAGUGAUAGGUACAGUUAUAGGGUGAGGGGUCCUGUAAUAGAGCAGCGAUAGGUACAGUUAUAGGGUGAGGGGUCCUGUAAUAGAGCAGCGAUAGGUACAGUUAUAGGGUGAGGGGUCCUGUAAUAGAGCAGUGAUAGGUACAGUUAUAGGGUGAGGGGUCCUGUAAUAGACCAGCGAUAGGUACAGUUAUAGGGUGAGGGGUCCUGUAAUAGACCAGUGAUAGGUACAGUUAUAGGGUGAGGGGUCCUGUAAUAGAGCAGUGAUAGGUACAGUUUUAGGGUGAGGGGUCCUGUAUGAGAGCAGUGAUAGGUACAGUUAUAGGGUGAGGGGUCCUGUAAUAGAGCAGUGAUAGGUACAGUUAUAGGGUGAGGGGUCCUGUAAUAGACCAGUGAUAGCUACAGUUAUAGGGUGAGGGAUCCUGUAAUAUAGCAGUGUUAGGUACAGGUAUAGGGUGAGGGGUCCUGUAAUAGACCAGUGAUAGGUACAGUUAUAGGGUGAGGGGUUCUGUAAUAGAGCAGCGAUAGGUACAGUUAUAGGGUGAGGGGUCCUGUAAUAGAGCAGUGAUAGGUACAGUUAUAGG